rnacentral:rRNA from 1 species
GAUGAACGCUGGCGGCGUGCCUAAUACAUGCGAGUCGAGCGAACGGACGAGAAGCUUGCUUUUCUGAUGUUAGCGGCGGACGGGUGAGUAACACGUGGAUAACCUACCUAUAAGACUGGGAUAACUUCGGGAAACCGGAGCUAAUACCGGAUAAUAUUUUGAACCGCAUGGUUCAAAAGUGAAAGACGGUCUUGCUGUCACUUAUAGAUGGAUCCGCGCUGCAUUAGCUAGUUGGUAAGGUAACGGCUUACCAAGGCAACGAUGCAUAGCCGACCUGAGAGGGUGAUCGGCCUCACUGGAACUGAGACACGGUCCAGACUCCUACGGGAGGCAGCAGUAGGGAAUCUUCCGCAAUGGGCGAAAGCCUGACGGAGCAACGCCGCGUGAGUGAUGAAGGUCUUCGGAUCGUAAAACUCUGUUAUUAGGGAAGAACAUAUGUGUAAGUAACUGUGCACAUCUUGACGGUACCUAAUCAGAAAGCCACGGCUAACUACGUG